GACGAAGGAUGCAAGCGUUAUCCGGAUUCAUUGGGUUUAAAGGGAGCGUAGGUGGUCUUAUAAGUCAGUGGUGAAAUCUCGCAGCUUAACUGCGAAACUGCCAUUGAUACUGUAGGACUUGAGUGUAGUUGCUGUGGGCGGAAUAUGACAUGUAGUGGUGAAAUACUUAGAUAUGUCAUAGAACACCGAUUGCGAAGGCAGCUAC
rnacentral:rRNA from 1 species